rnacentral:tRNA from 1 species
UUGCCAUCUUGAUUGGGUAUUUUGAAAAUACUUUUUAAAAAUUAGCGUUUUUAGUUGGUUGAU